rnacentral:rRNA from 1 species
CACUUAUACGGUGAAACUGCGAAUGGCUCAUUAAAUCAGUUAUCGUUUAUUUGAUAGUACCUUACUACAUGGAUACCCGUGGUAAUUCUAGAGCUAAUACAUGCUGAAAACCCCGACUUCGGAAGGGGUGUAUUUAUUAGAUAAAAAACCAAUGCCCUCCGGGGCUUCUUGGUGAUUCAUAAUAACUAAACGAAUCGCAUGGCCUUGAGCCGGCGAUGGUUCAUUCAAAUUUCUGCCCUAUCAACUUUCGAUGGUAGGAUAGUGGCCUACCAUGGUAUCAACGGGUAACGGGGAAUUAGGGUUCGAUUCCGGAGAGGGAGCCUGAGAAACGGCUACCACAUCCAAGGAAGGCAGCAGGCGCGCAAAUUACCCAAUCCCGACACGGGGAGGUAGUGACAAUAAAUACUGAUACAGGGCUCUUUUGGGUCUUGUAAUCGGAAUGAGUACAAUUCAAAUCUCUUAACGAGGAACAAUUGGAGGGCAAGUCUGGUGGACCUCAGCUCCCGUUGCUGACGCCAGAAAGAGUUGCCGGCCGCUUGCGGGCGCCGCCAGCUAGUCGAGCACCCACGCUGUGAUAGGCGGGUGCCGGCAAGACAACCUGGAUCGGGGAAGGCUACGGCAUCGCGAGAUGCUACGCUAAUCCCGAGCGGAGCUGUCGCGAAGCGAUCCGCGUCGAGCCCGUGUAGAGCACGCAAAGGUGUCGGUCGACUCUCCGAGUCGGCUUAAGGUACGUGCCAUUCCCAUCCGAAAGGGUGGCCGCGAACAGUAGCGCCUAUCACGCGAAGGUUCCGGGAGGUCGUCCCCCGCGCUGGGGGAUCGGUCCUCGAGGGACGCGCCAGUCCCGAAGGCCAGCAGCCGCGGUAAUUCCAGCUCCAAUAGCGUAUAUUAAAGUUGUUGCAGUUAAAAAGCUCGUAGUUGAACCUUGGGUUCGGCUGGCCGGUCCGCCUAACCGCGUGCACUGGUCUGGCCGGGCCCUUACCUCUGGGGAACUGCAUGUCCUUCACUGGGCGUGUCAGGGAACCAGGACUUUUACUUUGAAAAAAUUAGAGUGUUCAAAGCAGGCCUUUGCUCGGAUACAUUAGCAUGGAAUAAUAGAAUAGGACGUGCGAUCCUAUUUUGUUGGUUUCUAGGAUUGCCGUAAUGAUUAAUAGGGACAGUCGGGGGCAUCAGUAUUCAGCCGUCAGAGGUGAAAUUCUUGGAUCGGCUGAAGACUAGCUACUGCGAAAGCAUUUGCCAAGGAUGUUUUCAUUAAUCAGGGAACGAAAGUUGGGGGAUCGAAGACGAUCAGAUACCGUCGUAGUCUCAACCGUAAACUAUGCCGACUAGGGAUCGGGCGACGUUCCAAUUUUGACUCGCCCGGCACCUUACGAGAAAUCAAAGUUUUUGG